AGAGUUUGAUCAUGGCUCAGAGUGAACGCUGGCGGCAGGCCUAAUACAUGCAAGUCGAACGGCAGCACAGCAGAGCUUGCUCUGUGGGUGGCGAGUGGCGGACGGGUGAGGAAUACGUGGGAAUCUGCCCAGUCGUGGGGGAUAACGUAGGGAAACUUACGCUAAUACCGCAUGCGCCCUUCGGGGGAAAGCCGGGGACCUUCGGGCCUGGCGCGAUUGGAUGAGCCCACGUCGGAUUAGCUAGUUGGCGGGGUAAGGGCCCACCAAGGCGACGAUCCGUAGCUGGUCUGAGAGGAUGAUCAGCCACACUGGAACUGAGACACGGUCCAGACUCCUACGGGAGGCAGCAGUAGGGAAUAUUGGACAAUGGGCGCAAGCCUGAUCCAGCCAUGCCGCGUGAGUGAAGAAGGCCCUCGGGUUGUAAAGCUCUUUUGUCCGGAAAGAAAAGCGCCGGGUUAAUACCCUGGUGUCCUGACGGUACCGGAAGAAUAAGCACCGGCUAACUUCGUG
rnacentral:rRNA from 1 species